rnacentral:sRNA from 1 species
CUGGUCCGGACCUGACCUGAAUUGCGACCCCAACCUGGACUGCUCCCCUGACCGCAACCCCUACCCCCGCCCACCAGCAUGGCCCGGCACGUGUUCCUAACGGGGCCCCCAGGCCGACUGCAGCAGUGGCCCAGGGCAAAGAGUGUGCGUCAUCGAUGAGAUUGGGAAGAUGGAGCUCUUCAGUCAGCUUUUCAUUCAAGCUGUUCGUCAGACGCUGUCUACCCCAGGGACUAUAAUCCUUGGCACAAUCCCAGUUCCUAAAGGAAAGCCACUGGCUCUUGUAGAAGAAAUCAGAAACAGAAAGGAUGUGAAGGUGUUUAAUGUCACCAAGGAAAACAGAAACCACCUUCUGCCAGAUAUCGUGACGUGCGUGCAGAGCAGCAGGAAGUGAAGACACAUGCAUUCCGUGAAGGAGUGCCCAGUUCAAGAGGAGCCUGAUGGAGCCCUGCCUGUCGAGGCUGUAUGCCUAUGGGGUUAUGGAACCUUGUGGGCUUUUCUAGAGAAAACUCAACAGCUGUUUCCCAUAAAAUGUUUAAAAGAUCAAAUUAGCCUUAAUGCUGGAUUGUCUGUACAAGAUUAACUAUCCAUUGUGGCUUAUCUAUGCUUAAAGAUUUCUUGUUUAUUUCCUCUUGCAGUCAUGCACAUGAUUUGGGUAAACUGUGAGAUGAGAAAUGGUUUUCAGAGUAUUAGAUGGAAUUCACCCCCGUUGAAGUUUAUAAAUGUGUUCAGGGGAAGGGGGAGGAAAGAGUUCACUGCCUAAUCAGUUUUGCAUGUCAUGAAAAUUAAAUUCCUCUCCAGGUGCAGCUUCAGCCUCAUGCAACUUAAAGUGAUAACAGUUAUUUGAUUUUUUAAAAAAUAUUAUUCCAAAAGAAAA